ensembl:lncRNA
CUCCUGUUUUUUUCUUUUCCUCAUUACUGUUGCUGCAAUUAUUAAUAUUUCCGUUAAUUAACACCUUCCUCCAUAAUUACAUAUUCUAUAUAUUCCCCAUGAUUUAUCAAUAUUAGAACUGUCUAUUAACUAAAGCUGUGCCAUUUUUAUGGAUGUAAAUAUGUAGAUAUACUUUACUGUCAUCAUUAGUAUUGCUAGUGUGAUGUUUUGGGGGGUUUCUGUUUUUUUUUCUCACUAUCCUGUGCUAAUCUGUCACUAAUCUGAGUCGAGUCACCUUUAUAUUAUUUCAAGAUGCACACAACAAAUUCAAUUUUUUUAUAUGUAUAUUCCCUCCCUCCUUUUUUCUCUUCUUCUUUUCUUCCCUUUUCCAUGUGCUAUGUUAUGUCAAAACAUUUUUUGUACCGAUUGUUUAUUUGUUCUUUCGUGUGUUAAUACAAUAAAAAACCAAUUAAAAAAGGCACACCAGUCUAAGAGCCAUGUUGUGUGCUGUUGUGUUUAACAGGAUCCCCCUGGCAUUCAGCUGUACGUGGCCGUGAAGACGGUGGUCCUGAACGGCGUGCAGCUGAAUAAGUACAGGUGUCGACGUGGCAGCAACUCGCUGGAGGGGCUGCACGCGCACCUGUACAACGUCAUUCCCUCCAAGAGAUGUGGGAUCAUGCCAUUCCAGGUGAGCCAAAAAGGAAAACGCAACCACAUUCUUUGUCAGUGUUUUUUUUAAAUUAUUCAUUACAUACAGCAACACAUGACAUGUUUUUUUGUGUUUCAGGUGUACCUAGUUGCUUUCGCUGUGCAGUGGAACAACCGGAUGGAAUCCGGCUGGUGGCCAGGGUCGGAAGACCACCUGCAUGGACCCCCGGCAGAUCCAGCGCAUGAACCGGCAGGCCGAGGUGCUCUUUGGCAAGGAACAUGUGCCGGAGCCCAACUUCGCCGCUCCUCUGCCCUACCCUGAGCAGUACCGGGACCCGGAUGAGGAGGAGCUCCUUGGUGUGGAGUACGCCCUGUGCCAGUCCACUGCCUUCACUGCAAGGCAGUACUACGCUCAGAAAGCGGAGGAAGAGCAGUCUCGCCAAGAGGAGGAAGAGGAGGAGGAUGAGCUGGCUGAUGAGGGUGUGGCCAUGGAGGAGGAGGAGGACCCCAUAGACGGUGUCUGUGAGCAGCACGUGGUCCUCACCCAGGCAGUGAAGGUGGAGGAGGAGGACAGCCCAGCCCUGCAGGACGUGCUGGUGUCCCAGCGGAAUCUCCAUCUGCCAGGGAUACAGGAAGUGGAGGUCCUGGCCAUGCUGCUGCUGGAGCUGACCGAUGACGCCGACCACCACCACCUCGUGCCGGUCAACCUGAGGCAGAAGAUCCUCACCGCCGCGGGCUGUCUCCACGAGCACGACCGGACUGCCGCCAACUUUGUCAAGAAGGGCUACACCCUGUUUGGCCGUUGCCUCGGACCGGACACCCCCGAUAACCGCGCCGCCCAGAAGACCAAGUUUGGCUGGAUGAGGUACCCUCAGGCUGCACAGGUGACAGAGGACAGCCGGCUGCUCUACCUCCUCAUUAAGAUGCUGAGGAACCGCCCGCCCUCCAGCCGCCUUGCCUCUCCCAGCAAGGUGGCCGCCUCCAUCAAGGCACAAUAUAAAAGGAUUGUGGAUCGCGUGAGAGACGAUCCCAUCCUCUGCGGCCUCUCCAUCCCACUGCCCAACAUCAACAAUAAGUCCAUCUCCAGCUUCUUCUCUCGGGAGGAGAAGGCUGCCAACUACAGAGCUACGGUGCAGCCCAAAGCCAAGCCCCACCGCACCGUGCUGUCUGACCAACCGCUGCCCGACGCUCUUGCAUUGCCGUCCUCGCUGCCACCACCAGACCGACAGCAAAUGCAGUUCGAGCAGCCUCGCCACACGGCCGGGAAAAGGCGCGGAGAGAAGCGGAGGUUGGACUUUGAGGAGCCGGACCCAGAGGCGGGACCUUCAAAUCGGCCCAUCCAAGCCCAGCCUGCUGCCGCCGCCCCCCCCUACAUCCUACCUGCAGUCCGGGCAGCUCCCAUACUGCUGGUGGUCCCAGCACAGCCGCGCGCUCCAUCAAUCCAGUUUGCCGGGCCUUCCUGCAGGCAGGUAUUCGUCCCCGUUCUGCCCCCCCCUGCUCUCAUCCCCAAGCCCAUCGUCCCCAAAAAGUCGGCGAGGCCCUGCGGGGCAUGCCAAGUUCCUCAGUGUGGUGGCCGGAGGAAACGCUACACGCCCUCCAAGGACAAAGCGGCUGGAAGCAGCCAAAAAAUUUACACUUUUUGUCCUGCCACAGGGAAGUCAACCACCUCUGGCUUUGAAGGCGUGGUGUACACCAGCUUUGAACACUUUAAAAGUGUGGUGGACGAGGAGCUGGAGAGGAGGAGAAGCCAUUAACACUGACUGUUGACACACCUGUUGCUUCUCCCUCUGUACAUUAUCCAUCUGUAUAUAUUAUUGAAUAUUUGUUACAUUGUAAUCAUACUGUAUAUAUGUUUUUAUAAUAGCUAUGUCAAUUAUAUUUCAUUUAGAUUUUGAUAAACAUUUUUAUUAUAUAUUUUUUUGGGCAACUUUAUAGAUGAAAGCCAUACUGGCAUUUCUGUAUGAUAGCACAUGUAUAUAUUAUUGCUUUUGUUUUAUAUUGAUUAUAUUUGUAAAGUUAGAAUUAUUUUUUGUUACUUGUGAAUUGUGUCAUAUUUUAUAUUAAUAAAAGUUGUGUUGUUAUUUAAAAGUGUGUCUUC